rnacentral:rRNA from 1 species
GACGAACGCUGGCGGCGUGCUUAACACGUGCAAGUCGAACGGAAAGGCCCUGCUUUUGUGGGGUGCUCGAGUGGCGAACGGGUGAGUAACACGUGAGUAACCUGCCCUUGACUUUGGGAUAACUUCAGGAAACUGGGGCUAAUACCGGAUAGGAGCUCCUGCUGCAUGGUGGGGGUUGGAAAGUUUCGGCGGUUGGGGAUGGACUCGCGGCUUAUCAGCUUGUUGGUGGUGUAGUGGCUUACCAAGGCUUUGACGGGUAGCCGGCCUGAGAGGGUGACCGGCCACAUUGGGACUGAGAUACGGCCCAGACUCCUACGGGAGGCAGCAGUGGGGAAUAUUGCACAAUGGGCGGAAGCCUGAUGCAGCAACGCCGCGUGCGGGAUGACGGCCUUCGGGUUGUAAACCGCUUUCGCCUGUGACGAAGCGUGAGUGACGGUAAUGGGUAAAGAAGCACCGGCUAACUACGUG